UACGUAGGGUGCGAGCGUUAAUCGGAAUUACUGGGCGUAAAGCGUGCGCAGGCGGUUUUCCAAGACAGAUGUGAAAUCCCCGGGCUCAACCUGGGAAUGGCAUUUGUGACUGGAAGGCUAGAGUGUGUCAGAGGGGGGUAGAAUUCCACGUGUAGCAGUGAAAUGCGUAGAGAUGUGGAGGAAUACCGAUGGCGAAGGCAGCCCCCCUGGGAUAACACUGACGCUCAUGCACGAAAGCGUGGGGAGCAAACAGG
rnacentral:rRNA from 1 species